rnacentral:rRNA from 1 species
AACGAACGCUGGCGGCAUGCCUAACACAUGCAAGUCGAACGAGAUCUUCGGGUCUAGUGGCGCACGGGUGCGUAACGCGUGGGAAUCUGCCCUUUGGUUCGGAAUAACAGUUGGAAACGACUGCUAAUACCGGAUGAUGACGAAAGUCCAAAGAUUUAUCGCCAGAGGAUGAGCCGCGUAGGAUUAGCUAGUUGGUGUGGUAAAGGCGCACCAAGGCGACGAUCCUUAGCUGGUCUGAGAGGAUGAUCAGCCACACUGGGACUGAGACACGGCCCAGACUCCUACGGGAGGCAGCAGUGGGGAAUAUUGGACAAUGGGAGAAAGCCUGAUCCAGCAAUGCCGCGUGAGUGAUGAAGGCCUUAGGGUUGUAAAGCUAUUUUACCCGGGAUGAUAAUGACAGUACCGGGAGAAUAAGCUCCGGCUAACUCCGUGCCAGCCGCCGCCGUAA